rnacentral:rRNA from 1 species
UGAGGAAUUUUGCGCAAUGGCCGCAAGGCUGACGCAGCAACGCCGCGUGGGUGAAGAAGGCCGUCGGGUCGUAAAGCCCUGUCAGGUGGGAAGAACACCAUGGGGACGAACAAGCUUCAUGGCUGACGGUACCACCAGAGGAAGCACCGGCUAACUCCGUGCCAGCAGCCGCGGUAAUACGGAGGGUGCGAGCGUUAUUCGGAAUUACUGGGCGUAAAGCGCGUUCAGGCGGUUUGGCAAGUCUGAUGUGAAAGCCCCGGGCUUAACCUGGGAAGUGCAUUGGAAACUGCCGGACUUGAGUACUGGAGAGGAAGGGGGAAUUCCCGGUGUAGAGGUGAAAUUCGUAGAGAUCGGGAGGAAUACCAGUGGCGAAGGCGCCCUUCUGGACAGCAACUGACGCUGAGACGCGAAAGCGUGGGGAGCAAACA